CAUUAUAUACAUUUAUUAUUUUCACUUAAAUAACCUUUAAUUAUUGGUGGUCAGUCAAGUAAUUCUGCGGUCCCCCUGGUUUUACUGUACAACUUCACCCACACUAUACCUCCACUGUAGAAAUGAUUUGGCUUCUAAUAUUCCCAAUCACUUGCAUUGAAUUAAAACCCCUCUAAAAAUCAAAAAUGUAUAUCAUGUUGUAAUCUUUGAACAAACAUUUGGGGUAAAGUUGGAAGCCGGGGAACAUCGAGAAACUGUUUUAGGACCUGUGUAUCACAGCUUUCUCAACACUGAUCAGAACACAAUUUUACAAUUUUUUUUAAAACCCCUUUCAAAAUACAAAAAUAAUGCUUUCUUUUUAGAUUACAGGUUGGUAACACUUCAGCAGAGGGUUAUCUUUACAUUUCCCAUUUGUACAGAUCAAAUAGAUAAUGUUUUGAGUUUUCUUAGACACAAAAGCCUUUAUACUCACCACUGCUGUACUGUUGGUUUACUGCAAAGAGGUGGGUCUUGUCUUUAGAAAAAUGACAUAAAACACUGGAAACUGAAUGAUCACAACCAUCUGUAGGCAGCGGUCAUGUUGACCUCUUUUUGUAACAUCCACAAGUUCAAGCAUUAACACAAUUCAAAAAGCUUCACAACAUAAACCGGACCCUCAUUCCCUGUGCGCUUUACACAAUACAUUCCACCCUAUUUAUCUCUCACCUAGGCUACUUGUUGAAAAAAGCAGGUUGCCUCAUUCGUACCAACCUUCCGUUAUUUUUCCCAACAAAACAUUAAAGAACACAGUCAGUUUUCUGUAUAUGGGCAUUGCAGACGAAUGGAGAAUGCGGUCUGACAACCACUUUAUAAAUCUUUAGUAGUCUGUACAACAGAGUUGCGUAGUUUGCCGAUUUAACCUCUUAAGUGCCACCGGCUCACCGCUCUUUAUUUCGUUGUCUUUUUUCUCUGUCACAUAUCUUAGUAGUAAUCAUAAAUUACAUAUCACUUGAAAUCUUAAAACCUCAAAAUUCAUCCUGUGAAAACCAUUUUGAAAUCGGACAUUGCGUUACC